rnacentral:rRNA from 1 species
GGGGUGCAGCAGGCGCGAAACCUCCGCAAUGUGAGAAAUCGCGACGGGGGGAUCCCAAGUGCCAUUCUUAACGGGAUGGCUUUUCAUUAGUGUAAAGAGCUUUUGGAAUAAGAGCUGGGCAAGACCGGUGCCAGCCGCCGCGGUAACACCGGCAGCUCUAGUGGUAACAAUUUUUAUUGGGCCUAAAGCGUCCGUAGCCGGUUUAAUAAGUCUCUGGUGAAAUCCUGUAGCUUAACUAUGGGAAUUGCUGGAGAUACUAUUAGACUUGAGACCGGGAGAGGUUAGAGGUACUCCCAGGGUAGAGGUGAAAUUCUGUAAUCCUGGGAGGACCGCCUGUUGCGAAGGCGUCUAACUGGAACGGUUCUGACGGUGAGGGACGAAAGUUAGGGGCGCGAACCGGAUUAGAUACCCGGGUAGUCCUAACUGUAAACGAUGCGGACUUGGUGUUGGGGUGGCUUUGAGCUGCUCCAGUGCCGAAGGGAAGCUGUUAAGUCCGCCGCCUGGGAAGUACGGUCGCAAGACUGAAACUUAA